rnacentral:pre_miRNA from 1 species
GAGACACCCCUAUGGAGCAGGCCUCACUUCAGUGGGGCUUUGGUGCUCACUGAGUCUUCCCCCUGAAUGUGUCACU